AGCUGUGGCAUAAUGGUUUGAGUGUUGAACUACAACUAUGGAGACCAGGGUUCGAAUCCCGGCUCAGCUA